UGAGGGAUUAAAGAGAAAAAUUCUUUGGAAUUUUCCAACAAUAUUUCUUCUUCUUCGAUCUGUCCACUGCUCUGCGCUUCAUCUUCUUCAAUUCUCCGUUUCCAAUUCCAUUGUUUCAGCUCAGCUGCUCAUAUCGUUUCCGAAUGUCAAAUCCAUUAGAGAGAUACCACAAACUUUGCCUGAUGGAUUUUCUGGCGAAGAGUUACAGCUACCCAUUAGCUUGUAAGGAGCUAAGCUUCUUAAUCAGAGGUGCUUUCAUUAAACUUCCCAAGAAUCUCCAAUCUCUCAUUUACGAACAUAUUAUCACCGCCUUUCAUCUCCUUCCAGAAAUGCAGACGAGCUCUGCUGCUUCUGCUGCACGUCUCCUUGCUCGGGCUGUUGAAGCUGCUUUGCCUAAGCAAAAGAGAAAUUCAGUGAUUGUAGAAUUUAAGAAAGCAAUGGUUGUUCAUAAGAGGCGUACUAAAGCACAUCAGGAAGAAAAAGGUUCUUGUCAACUCCCUCAAGAUGUUCUUCUCCACAUCUUCCGCUUUAUAGAUGUUCAAUCUUUAGUUUCAGCUGGGCUAGUAUGCCGGUCGUGGAAUGUAGCAGCAGAGGAUGAAUAUCUGUGGCAGUUGCAGUAUACAACAUUUUUUGUUUGUUCUGAUGACAAUAGUAAAUCCAUUAAUGAUAAAGACAGUGAGGAUGGCUUUGCUAGCAGUAGCACACCUCGUGUUGAUUGGAAAGAGGAAUUCAAGAAAGCAUAUGUAAUUCUUUGGGGAGAAACACAUAUGGAAGGGGAUACUGCAAACACUGUGACACAAUAGUUUCCUUUAGUACCUUGAGAUGUCCGAAUGAUCAUGGUAGAAAUAAAAACACACAAAUCAAGCCUCUGUCAAUCAACCAGGUUGUUGAAUAUGUGUUAAAUGGAGCGUCAGAAUUGAUUUAUUCUUCAGAUAGUGAAACUGAUUCAGAUGAAGAUGUGAUUUCUGAGUUUUGGGCUCUUCCAAAGUACUUAGGCAGCAGUGGAGCGAACUGAUCCUAUCCUAAAGGUGCAGAUUUGAAUCUUUUAACUUUUUGUCUUUGACGAGAUAGUAAUAUUUUAACAACUGUAAAGAAGUUGCCUCGUCUAUCUUGUUAACAGCUUAGAUUGUAAAUAUAUUUACCAAUAUCAUUGAGAACGAAUGAACUGGAGAGUAUACAACAAAUCAAGCCCACAAAAAUUCUACUAAGGAAAGGGGGUUCGAGCAAA